AUUGAACGCUGGCGGCAGGCCUAACACAUGCAAGUCGAGCGAGUGGCGGACGGGUGAGUAAUGUAUGGGAAUCUGCCUGAUGGAGGGGGAUAACUACUGGAAACGGUGGCUAAUACCGCAUACUAUCGGAUGUGCCCAGAUGGGAUUAGCUAGUAGGUGGGGUAAAGGCUCACCUAGGCGACGAUCCCUAGCUGGUCUGAGAGGAUGACCAGCCACACUGGAACUGAGACACGGCCCAGACGCCUACGGGAGGCAGCAGUGGGGAAUAUUGCACAAUGGGCGCAAGCCUGAUGCAGCCAUGCCGCGUGUAUGAAGAAGGCCUUCGGGUUGUAAAGUACUUUCAGCGGGGAGGCGUUACCCGCAGAAGAAGCACCGGCUAACUCCGUGCCAGCCGCCGCGGUAAUAC
rnacentral:rRNA from 1 species